rnacentral:rRNA from 1 species
UAGGGAAUAUUGCACAAUGGACGAAAGUCUGAUGCAGCGACGCCGCGUGAGUGAUGAAGGCCUUCGGGUUGUAAAGCUCUGUUCUCAGGGAAUAAAAAAAUGAAGGUACCUGAGAAGAAAGGACCGGCUAACUUCGUGCCAGCAGCCGCGGUAAGACGAGGGGUCCAAGCGUUGCUCGGAAUUAUUGGGCGUAAAGCGAGUGUAGGUGGCUUUGUAAGUCAGGAGUGAAAGCCCUGGGCCUAACCCAGGAAGUGCUUUUGAUACUGCAAAGCUUGAAUGUGGGAGAGGAUCGUGGAAUUCCAGGUGUAGUGGUGAAAUACGUAGAUAUCUGGAGGAACACCGGUGGCGAAGGCGGCGAUCUGGCCCAACAUUGACACUGAGACUCGAAAGCGCGGGGAUCAAACAGGAUUAGAUACCCCGGUAGUCC